rnacentral:rRNA from 1 species
UACAGAGGUCCAUGCAGCUGUUGGUCGAUUCAUUGGGCGUAAAGGGUGCGUAGGCGGCGCGGUAAGUCGGGUGUGAAAUCUUGGAGCUUAACUCCGAAACUGCAUUCGAUACUGCCGUGCUUGAGGACUGGAGAGGAGACUGGAAUUUACGGUGUAGCGGUGAAAUGCGUAGAUAUCGUUUGGAACGCCGAUGGAUGAAACAGGUCGCUGGGUUGUGCUGCGCUGAGACACGAAAGCCAGGGAGCGAACGGG